GGGGGGGGGGGGGGGCGGGCGUGGCGCGUGCGGGGGGAGGGGGGAGGGCGUGCGUGUGUGGGGUGCGCGAGUGGCGAGCGGGUGAGUAACAGGUGAGUAGCCUGCCCUUGACUUGGGGAUAACUUCAGGAAACUGGGGCUAAUCCCGGCUAGGAGCUCCUGCUGCAUGGUGGGGGUUGGAAAGUUUCGGCGGCUGGGGAUGGACUCGCGGCUUAUCAGCUUGGUGGUGGGGUAGUGGCUUACCAAGGCUUUGACGGGUCGCCGGCCUGAGAGGGUGACCGGCCACAUUGGGCCUGAGAUACGGCACAGACUCCUACGGAGGCAGCAGUGGGGAAUAUUGCACAAUGGGCGGAAGCCUGAUGCAGAAACGCCGCGUGCGGGAUGACGGCCUUCGGGUGGUAAACCGCUUUCGCCUGUGACGAAGCGUGAGUGACGGUAAUGGGGAAAGAAGCACCGGCUAACUACGU
rnacentral:rRNA from 1 species